AAAUGAAUAGACGGGGGCUCACACAAGCGGUGGAGCAUGUGGCUUAAUUCGAAGCAACGCGAAGAACCUUAUCCUAGGCUUGACAUGCACGUAUCAACUUCCUGAAAGGGAAGCCACACCCGCAAGGGCGGAACGUGCACAGGUGCUGCAUGGCUGUCGUCAGCUCGUGCUGUGAAGUGUCGGGUUAAGUCCCUCAACGAGCGAAACCCCUGUCGUUAGUUGCUAACGCGUAAUGGCGAGGACUCUAGCGAGACUGCCGGUGUCAAACCGGAGGAAGGUGGGGAUGACGUCAAGUCCUCAUGGCCCUUAUGCCUAGGGCUGCACACGUGCUACAAUGGCGGAUACAGAACGAUGCAAGACCGCAAGGUGGAGCAAAUCGCAUAAAGUCCGCCCCAGUUCGGAUUGGAGGCUGCAACCCGCCUCCAUGAAGUCGGAAUCGCUAGUAAUCGCGGAUCAGCUACGCCGCGGUGAAUAUGUUCCUGAGCCUUGUACACACCGCCCGU
rnacentral:rRNA from 1 species